rnacentral:rRNA from 1 species
CGGGAAUAUUGGGCAAUGGAUGCAAGUCUGACCCAGCCAUGCCGCGUGCCGGAUGAAGGCCCUCAGGGUUGUAAACGGCUUUUAUUCGGGAAGAAGAUCAGGGGUGCGCCCCUGUGUGACGGUACCGAAUGAAUAAGCACCGGCUAACUCCGUGCCAGCAGCCGCGGUAAUACGGAGGGUGCGAGCGUUGUCCGGAUUUAUUGGGUUUAAAGGGUGCGUAGGUGGCUUUUUAAGUCAGUGGUGAAAUACAGCCGCUCAACGGUUGAGGUGCCAUUGAUACUGAAGAGCUUGAAACAAGUGGAGGCUGCCGGAAUGGAUGGUGUAGCGGUGAAAUGCAUAGAUAUCAUCCAGAACACCGAUUGCGAAGGCAGGUGGCUACGUUUGAUUUGACACUGAGGCACGAAAGCAUGGGGAGCAAAC